rnacentral:rRNA from 1 species
AUUGAACGCUGGCGGCAGGCUUAACACAUGCAAGUCGAGCGGAGAGAGGUAGCUUGCUACUGAUCUUAGCGGCGGACGGGUGAGUAAUGCUUAGGAAUCUGCCUAUUAGUGGGGGACAACAUUUCGAAAGGAAUGCUAAUACCGCAUACGUACUACGGGAGAAAGCAGGGGCUCUUCGGACCUUGCGCCAAUAGAGGCGCCUAAGUCGGUUUAGCUAGUUGGUGGGGUAAAGGCCUACCAGGGUGACGAUAUGUAGCGGGUCUGAGAGGAUGAUCCGCCACACUGGGACUGAGACACGGACCAGACUCCGACGGGAGGCAGCAGUGGGGAAUAUUGGACAAUGGGCGGAAGCCUGAUCCAGCCAUGCCGCGUGUGUGAAGAAGGCCUUAUGGUUGUAAAGCACUUUAAGCGAGGAGGAGGCUACUUUAGUUAAUACCUAGAGAUAGUGGACGUUACUCGCAGAAUAAGCACCGGCUAACUCUGUGCCAGCCGCCGCAGUAAAAC